GGUGUCUGAACCCAGCCUCCUGGUUCCCCACCCAGGUGCUUCCCAGCACCUCGUGUGCCUGGAAUGAAACGCCAGCAGAAAUGGGGGGACGGGAACACCUCCGUUCUGUAACGCAGAGCAGACGCGCGACGCUGUGAGCGGGAGGUGACAGGAGGGGGUGGGGGGAUCGAACAGCCGCUGUUUCCUCUGCAGGAGCCCCUGGGAGACCGCAGUUCUGUGCGCUCAGCCCUCCUCCCCGUUUUCCACAGACUCGGGGCCUCUCUCUUGCUGGUCCAGCUUCUCGGUGACAUUGUUUCCCUCCUCCCGCAGCCAAGAGGGGCCUGGAAGGACAGUGAGGCCACCUACCCGGCCUCCGUUCUGUCCUUUACAACCAUCCCUGCAGGCCUGGGCUGAGCUGCCGCGGAAGCCCGGCCUGGGUCCCUCCGGGUGCUGGGUGUGCCUCUGACUGGCUCACAGAUGUGGCAGCCUGCGGCCAGCGGUGACCUGGAGACCUCGUCCUGUCCUCCAGCUGCGUCAGCGCUGUCUCGGGACUUGCAGACAAGCGUCACCCACACAUUCAGGCUUCAUUUCCCGUUUGUGUGUGUGCAGAUAACGUGCUAUCGGGUCUAUCCUCUCAACUGAUUUUAAGCUUCACAGCAAUCCUUGAAACACAAGUGUGGUCCCCAUUCUACGGUCAAGGGUUACGUGGUGUGACCGAGACGCACAGCUGGAAGCGGCAGAGGUAGGACUUGAGCUCCCGUCUCCUGGCCUCGGGGCCGGGACCCCAGGCAUCACGUGGAGGAUUCUCAGUCUGGAGCCCACACUCUGCCAGCACAGCCACAAGGGCGGGCUUCUGGUCCCUGAGGCCCACACGAUCGCACACGAAGCUUGUGUCCACGUGCUCACGUGCGUCUCUCUAGGGAAGGUGUCGUGGCAUUGAUUAGACCCUCGGAGAGACCCACGGCCUCAGAGGGACAGGCGGCGGGUCCUGACGCCCAGGUCUACACCGACGGCCCUUCUGUCUCCGUGCCAGCCAGGCGCUGCCCGCGAAGACCGGCCCUCUCCCAUCUAAGUUUCUGGCCUGUUGACGUCUCGGAAAUGUAGUGUCAGGUUCCGUUUAUCAUGUCGACAGUGUGCAAAGCCUGUCUAUGCAGCUACCUGACACGACCUGCAGGGCAAGUGUAGCCCUCACAUCUAAGAAACCACAUCUCAGAGCAGGACGGGGACGACCCUGACGUCCCAUCAGGAGUGAGAGACGGACCCAGAACCUGCCUCCUGGCCCUGGACCCUGGUGCUACAGAACUCGGAGGACAGCAGGGUGAUGGCAGGUGCUGGGCAGGGAGGAGGCAGCCAGCACCAGCAGGACCAGCCGGCGCGAGCGGCUGUGGGAGCUACGGCCGGUCUGCCGGACCCGCCGCCUUGCCGAGGGUUUCUCCUGAGGGUCCUGCAGGAAGUCACGCCGCCCUUCCACCCCCUCCCUCCUCAGGCACCUUUUCAAAUUGCCGGCUCUGUAGGGUCACAGCAUCCUGGUGGAGUCACAGGCCCCUCGGGGCCAGGAGCUCUUCCCGCCAGGCCUCUCUCCGCUCUGCACCCGUGACCACGUGCGGCGCUCCCUGGGGUUCAGCCGGUCCAGGAUUCCAUCAGCCUUUGGGAAAUGCAUCACAGCAUCGUGGGUGCAACCAAAAUUGCCCGGAAGGUCCUUUCGGUGUCUGGUUUUUGAGGGCUACUGAAGAUCGUUUGGGACCUCAACUGCUGUGGCAGAGUCCUGAAAUUUUUUCUUGCCAACUGUUGUCUAUUAUGCUAAAACAUCAAACAAGCACACGCGCUCUCUCCAAAACAAACCCCACACCCAAAACGAAACAUAAGGACAAACCACGACUUUCCUGUGGCCGCUGAGACGCAGGAUGGGUUCGAACCUCAGGCGUCGGGCGUUUGGCCAACACGGCGUCUGCCUGAUCGUCUGUGUGGCUGCGGCAACCUCAACGUCCAUCGACAGAGGAAUGGAUAAAGAAGAUGUGGUGCAUGUACACAAUGGAAUAUUACUCAGCCGUAAAAAGGAAUGACACUGGGUCACUUGUGGAGACGGGGUGGACCUAGAGACUGUCACCCUGAGUGAAAGCUACAAUUAAACCGCUGUGGUGUUGCUGAUGGGGUGAAGUAACAGCCAAGGUUCACGUUUCCCACGUGGCUAGCUAACUGAACGAGACCAUCUGCCAAAAAAAGAAAGUCCUUUCCGCGCUGCUGUGUUUGCGGGGCUGCCUUGGUCAUACACGGAGCCGGCGGGCGUGGAGCUCCUCCUGGCCGCGCUCCCUCUCUGGGCGGCUCCCCGCCUGGCCCAGCACCACACCGGGCAGGGCACGUCCUCCUCGUCACUCUCCUUCAAGAGGAUCUGGCUCCUCUUGACGCUGUGUAUACGUGUUAGAAUCAGCUUUCCAAUCUCUGUGAAGAACCGCGUUGGGACUGCGCUGCGCUCCUUUGGGGAGAACGGACAUGUUUAUCCCACUGAGCCGAUCGGGAACGUGGGAGAUGCUCCUGUUCCCUUAGGUCUCUUCUUCGCGUCCUCUCAGGAGCGCUUCACCGUGUCUCGAGCGCCUUGUGUUGGCACGAUUCCCGGGAACACUCAAUUGUCCUUAUUUGUGGAUUUUGCAAUUUACAAGUUUGCCUAGUUGAUGAAAUUUAUGUUGCCAUAAAAUCAACUCUGUGGCAACAAAUCUGAGUCACCGAACGCACAUUCCCAGCUGAGGUCAGACAGGCUCGGGUGCUGCCUUCUUUCCUCCGCUCUCACGCUGCAGACAAGUAUCCUUCUCGAAGGCUACUUAGGGUCACAUUUCUGGUUAAUUUUUCUUCAGGGGAGAAGGAGAAAUUUCGCGUUUAAAAUAGCCCCAAAGUGUUGGGCUGACGUGCUGUCCGGUGUCCUAAAUACAAGAAGGCUGUAAUGUAUUCCCCUUAUGGAGAAAAGAUGUGUGUCCAGUAUGGUUUGCUCAGGCCGCAGUUACAGUGCUGUUGGCUGUGAGUUCAGUGUUAGUGAGUCAACAACACAGGUCAAUUAGGGGUCUCUAAACAGAACACACAUAACACCAGCCUAGGUACUGACCCACUGAUGAACAUGUGGCCAGAGCCUCACAGGAAGCUCAGCCUUCAUUUCCCCAGGAACCAAGAUUCAGGAUUUGCUAGUUCAGUGCGUGCGGUGACUUCAUGGAACGCAACUGCUGCAAGUAAUGAGGACGACGUGACUGUUUCCAGACGAUCGUAAAUGUUAUCUUUUGAAAUUUUCAGUUUAAAAUAUGUGUUACUGGUAUUAAGAAAUCCGAUUAAUUUUUUCCUAACUGCAGUAUGGCUUACUAAAAACAUUCAGCAAGGGACUUCCCUGGUGGUCCAGUGGGUAAGACUCUGUGCUCCCAAUGCAGGGGCCCGGGUUCGAUCCCUGGUCAGGGAACUAGAGCCCGCGUGCUGCAACUAAGAGCUCACAUGCUGCAACUAAAGAUCCCGCAUGCAGCAACAAAGAUCCCACGUGCCACAACUAAGACCUGCUGAAGCCAAAUAAAAUAUAUUCAGCUAAAAGAUAACAUUGGAAAAUUGCUGAUAAAUAACUCUGUAACAACUCUAGAAAAUUAAACUAUCAUUAUUCUUUUACAAAUAUGUAGAUUUUAUAAUAUUAUUUUGCAAAAUUAUAUAGGGUUUAGAAAGAUAAAGUGUAUCACUCAUUUUUAAAUGGGAGUCAGACUUUCUAAUAUGUCAUAUUGUGGGAUCCAUUAAAAAGGAAUAUAAGUACUAAAUGUGGCAAAACUCUGUAAGCUAAUGAUAUAGUGAAUAGUUUAGAAAACUGACAUAUAAGUAUAGGAAAAACACAACACUGAUGAAGACUUAUUUCCCCCCCAAUGCGUUAACCAGGUGGCCUUGGGACAGGGCGUUAUGAUUGCUGAGAGGCAGUUACGUAUUUUUGACCACACGGUGAUUUGA